rnacentral:lncRNA from 1 species
AUUUUCUAAAGCUAGGUAUAAACAAAUAUACAUUGUUUGAAAUAUUAUUGUUAUUAAUGUCUUAAGGGUCUUUUUUUUCUAAUGACUAGAUUUGAAUAAGUUUCACAAUAGUAAAGGAUGUUAACAAGACCUUUUAGAGUCAAAAUCUGAAAAUAAAGUAGCUAUAAUGUUGAACAGCUCUACUCUAAGUCUACAGGGAGAGAGAAAACAAAACAAAUAAUCAGUUCAGCUCACCUAGAUAGAGGACAAGAUUUAUAUUUCAGGGAGAAACAUUCAAAGGCCUCAAUUGCUUCAAGAAGGCAGAUUAAUGAAUAAUAUUGAAAAGUUUGAAAUAGAAGCCAUUAUUCUCAGGUAACUGAAUAUAUAUGCAGAAAAUUACAUGUAUAUUCAGAAUAUUCUAAAUAUGUAUAAAGGAUGUAUAUAUGUACAGAAAAAUUUAACAUUAAUAAGUGAUUUAAAGUCACAGGAUACAAAAGCCAUUUUAUUUCUAUAUGUCAGUUUUCCUAUAUCUAUUGCUACACAAAACUGAGUAGCUUAUAGCUAUAAUCAGUUCCUUAUAUCUCAAUAUAUUGUGAGUCAGGAGUGCAGGUAGCGCUUCGCUAGGAAAUUCUUCUGGUCCACACAGUAUCACCACAAGUCUGUGUGGUGGUGCUGUAGAACAUUCAUGACUGCCUCAUUUACAUGUCUGAUGUCUUGGUGGAAAUGCCUCGAAUCCUAGGCUCAGCUAGGACUGUGGGCUAGACCGCACACACACGGCCUCUCCAACAUCGUAGUCUCAAGAUAGUGAGAAAAUGUACAUGCCAACUCAAAACUCCCAGACAUAGCAUAUCAAGAGACAAGAAGUGAAAAUUGCCUGGGCUGGGAAAUUGGUAGAGGGUAUUUUUUUUAUUAGCAAAAGACAUUAUAGAACCCAUCAAUAUUCAAGGAGACAUGACAAGGACCUCAGGUCUCCAUGAGGUAACUGCCCCAAGAGGAAAGCUUAAGUUCUGUGCCGAGUACUAUAUAUAGAUUUUCUCAUUCAAUUUACUCAUAUAGUCCAUUUCAUAGAUAAGAAAAUCAAGGCACACAAAGUUUAAGUAAAUUGGACAAGGUUUUAAAAACUGACUCUUCAUGAAAAACAAAAAACAAGGAACUUGAAGGUGCCCCUUUAGAGAAGAAAUGAUUUGAUGAUUCCACAUAUAUAAAGGCAAUACCAAUUUCAAAAACAUGUAUUGAUAACAGUAUUAAUCUGUCACACAGCAUAGAGAACAAACUUCAGUGGCAAAAUGACAACUCGGAAAUAGCCACGUGUGGCAAAAAAUCAGUUUAUGUACAGUAUUAAUGAAGCAAUGACUUGAGGAUGUAGACAGGAAAAAUAAUCAUGCCACAAAAUGUCAUAAUAUGAAGCACCAUUGUGUGUCGGGGCGGGGUGGGGGGCUGGGUGGUGUUUUCUUGAUACAAAGAAAGGAAGAACAAAGAAUGCAUGAAGCUUUCAAGCUGGGAAAACUAAUAAAUGUACAUGACUGUAUACAGCUUUCUAAAAGCAGGUACAUUGUGUUAAACAUGAUUUAUAUGUUUAGCUCCUGGCUUGAAAAUGAAAAUCAGCACUGGAUUAGCAAGAGCUGUUGAAUUUUCCUGAGGUCCAACACUACAAGAAACUGUUCAAUGAAAACUUUAUUCCCAAGAAGCCAUCCAACUGGUUUAUAAACUUUAUGCAACUUUAGUACCUGGUAAAUUGAGUGUGGGGGAAAGGGAGCAGAGAAGAAAGAAGGUUCAAUUUACUGGGAUGUAUAAUUCUUGUUUGUAAAUUGUAACAAACACUAGUAAGUAAAGAAAUAAUAGCUUAAGGUGAACAGAACUUUUUCCCAUUAAAUGUGUUUAAUUAGCACAGAUCCUUCUCUAGGGGCCAGGAAAUAAUGACAUCAUGACGGUCCGUGACAGUCCUUGACUGUGAAUGCUGCUAAAUCUGUUUAAAAGAAAAAAAAAAGAAACUAAAAAUGCAAAACAAAAAAACCAAUCCUUUUUGCUUCACAUGAAAAAUCAUUUAGCAAUGACAAGUAAAGAAAUUUAUAGCUGUACAAGUAAACAAUAUAUUUCUAUAACUCUGUGAAAUUUUAUAUCCAGAGAUAUACACUUACACAGAGAUACACACUUAUACACAUUCACUACUUGUGUCAUAUAAAUUAUUUUUCAAAAUAGGUUCAGUUGUUUAGGCAUACAAUGAAUUAAGAGAGAGUUAUUUGUAGUUGGUGCACAGAGUAAAAUGGGAAUUUGUAAAGACUCAAAACAUUUCAUGAGAGAAAGUACAUUUUGCACAUAGGGUAGAUAAUAAAACAAUCAUUUGAGAACACACCCUCAUUCAGCUCUCUCAAAAUAUUAUGAGGUAAGUGUUAUCAUCUCUAUUCCAUAUAUGAAAUGACUAUGGUUCAAAAGGUUAAGAUACUGGGAAAGUUUUUGACUGGCUCUAGUGUGUAUCUGAAAUUCCAGCAUCAAUCAGCUCAAGUGAAAAACCCAUUAUAUCUUCUCUUUACCUCUUGAUAUGGUUUGGCUAUGUGUCCCCACCCAAAUCUCAUCUUGUAGCUCCCAUAAUGCCUGUGUGUUGUGGGAGGGACCCAGCGAUAGAUAACUGAAUCAUGAGGGCAGGUCUUUCCUGUGCUGUUCUUAUGAUAGUGAAUAAGUCUCACAAGAUCUGAUGGUUUUAAAAAUGGGAAUUUCCCUGCACAACCUCUCUCUUUGCCUGCUGCCAUCCAUUUAAGAUGUGAACUUGCUCCUCUUGCCUUCCACCGUGAUUGUGAGGCCUCCCCAGCCACGUGGAAUGGUAAGUCCGUUAAACCCUUUUUCCUGUAUAAAUUACCCAGUUUCAGAUAUAUCUUUAUCAGCAGCAUGAAAAUGAACUAAUAUAACUCUACUCUUUUAUAGUAAGGUAAAGAUAAUUUUUCACUCCACAUGCAUAACUUAAGAUGAAUUUUGAACCCUUAUCCUUGAGCACUGAUCAAUUUUCUAAAGUUACUGGGGGUGUGGAAACAGUAAAGUAAGCUAUCCACCAAAUGUCUUUCUUAGAACAAAAUUAUUCAGGUCCCUAGUAGUUAGCCUACCAUGUAGUACUAGGGUAAAGAUACUUUAGUCACCCCAUGAAACACUUACUUAAAAACAGCAUUAAAAUGAGUGCUGUCUAUGUGUACUACCUUGUGCCAGGGGCAGUGACAGGCCAAAAGAAAUACACCACAUUUACAAGAAGCCUACAAUCUAAUUCGAAGGCAUAUAUGUGAAAUGUUAAAGGGGGAAAAUUUGUAAUCUAGAGCUUCAGACACAACUAUUUCAUGAAGAAUAUUUCCUAAAAGUUAGUGAAGUAUUAAAUUAUUUCUGACUUUCUAAAGAUUAGUGAUGUAUUGAAAUAUUUCUGACUCUCUGCUACUUCCAUGUCAUCUGGUAAGUGUACCUGAGCUAUGAUCUUAAUUGUGAAGUGCCUCUGACCUUGGUCACUUAGCUACUUCUCUUGGUCACUCUCCCCUUAAUAAUAAUUAGUACAUAUCAUGUGAUAGCUUUUUAUUCCUUAGAUAUAACCUAUGAGAAUUCAUCCCAUCUUAGUGCUUUAAAUACUAUCAAUAUGCCAAUGAAUGCUACAUGUGUAUCUUGAGCUUUGAUUCUUCCUGAACUCUAGUCUUGGUUAUUCAAGGCAUACAUGUUCAUCUCUAUGUUGAAAAUUCAUUUCAAACUUACCCUGCCCAAACAUGACUCUUGAUCAUUCUUUCUUAAUAAUUACUGGCACACACCAUAUAUUAGAUUUUUAUCCUCAGAACAAAAAUGUAAGAUAGUUUCCUUUAGGAGACUCAUUUCAACUGAGAAAACUGAGACACUCAGAGGUUACAGAACAUGUCCAUAGCAGUAAGUGAAGAUGGAAUGCAAAUCCAAUCUGUUCACAGAGUUCAUUCCAUCAACCAUGACACUAUUGUUACACCUCUGCCUCCAACACAUAUCUCAAACUGGGUCACUUCUCUGUAUCUUUGCGGUCACUUCUCUGUAUCUUUGCUGCCACUACCCUACGAUAUGCACAUGCUUUUCUACUCAAGAGUUCAAAAGACUUCCUAAACUGUACAUGUCAAAAGAGAGAACCUUUAAUUUGUUCUGCCCUAAGUAAUGAAACUUACCUUAUGCCAAGCACUGCUCUAAACAGUUUUAAUCCAUUACCUCCUUGGAUUAUUAGAGCAAAUAAUGAGAUAGGUAUUACGAUUCUCAUUUCACACAUGAGGAAACUAAAGUAAAAAGAAUUUAAGAAACUUGCCCCUGGCCAGUACUUGAAGUUGGAAGCAAACCCUGUCUGUCUCCAGCACCCAUGCUUUCAAAACCAUUGCUCUAUAUGCCUUUUCUUCAUUAACUUUCCUGAUGCAGGAAUGCACUUCUAUCUACCUGUCAGUCAGGCCAAACGCUUGAGACUUAGCUGUGAUUUCUCCCUUUGUGCUAUUUCAACACUUCCUGGCAUACAAUUACUGAACAUAUCUUCCCAGCAUUACCUCCACCAUAUAUAUAUCAAACCUGAUUACUUCUCAUCAUCUUCACUGCUUAAAAUUCUACCACUCUUAAGCUCCUUAAUCUACAUCAAUAGCUGAUUAACUGGUCUCUCACCUUCCACAGAUCCUAAAGCCUGUUCCACCUAAAGCAUCCAAUGUGAUAAUUUUGAAACCCAAAGAAAGCCAUAUCACUUUAUUUCUAAGGAUCCUGCUUGCUGAAAUUAGAAUAAAAUGCAAACUCUGUUCCAUGCCCUAUUGGACUCCACAUAAUCUGGCCCCUGUACAUUUUUCUGAACUCAUCUCACUCCAGGCUCUGUUGCAUCCACUGCACUCCAGUCACACUGGCCAUUGUUCUCUCCCUUGACCACACCAAGCUUGUUCUACCUUGCAUCUGUUAGCCUGGGUAUUCAUUUUGCAGGCUCUUCCUACCUUACAGGUCUCAGCUCCAAUGCUACAGCAGAAAGUUUCCUUUAUCCCCUUCCCCAAAGCAGCAGCCUCCCUGCUAUACACCCUGCUACUCCUUAGCUCACAUUAAAAAUCAUCAUACUAUUCUGUGAGUUGAUUUUCUGAUUUUCCUCACAACAAGAAGGCUGGAUGAGCACAGGGAACUUGCCUGUGUUGUCUAUUGCUCUGUAGUCAGCUCCUGAAAGUAUGCUUGACACACGGUAGGCAUUUAAAUAUUUUUCAUAAAUGAGUAGCAAAAAUAAUCCAAUUUCCUCAGUUUAUACCUCUACAACUUUUAAGGAAACUCAUUUUACUUAUUUUCAUAUUUCAUCAACAUGUUUUUAAAUUACACUGUUCUUGUUCAUGGUCUAAUUAUCAUGAUAAGUAGUAUAAAUUUAUUGAGAUCUUACAGUGUUAGGCACUGCAUAUGCCUUUAAAUGCUAUCUUUCCAUUUUACAAAAAGGAAAUUGAUGCUAAGAGAGGUCAAAGAACUUGCUCAGGAACACAGACAAAAAUGCCAAAGUUGAGAUUUAGAUUAAGGGUUAUCUCACUAUAAAUCUCAAGCUCCUUCUAAUGUAUCCAGUUAUAGAUCUGAUGAGCAUAAACAAAUGUUUUUUAAAAAGAAGAAAAGGUAAAACAAACAGACUAAUAAUAACCAAAAAACCUUUUCAGACUACAAAUGUGAAAGCUAAGAGGAAAACAAUUGACUUCUACAAGAGUACAAGCAAAAUUGUUUCGUAUUUGGUUAAAGGUGAGGAACAAGUAAAUUCAUUUCAUCCUAGAAGGAAGCUUUUGAAAUUUCUUAUAAUAACAGAUAAUAGAGCUUAAUUAUAUAAAUAUAUUCAAAUGUUUUAAAUAAAUUACAUUAUGCAUGGAUAAGUUAUUCAAGUAAACCCAAGAGUCUUGAAAUGAUAUGCCUCACCCAAAAAAGGCUAAGGUCUGGAGACUAACUAUGCUUUUUCACAAUUCCUUAGAGCUGUUAGGCAAAUCACCCCAGGAGGAUGGAGGAUGAGAAUUCUGAUCCUUAGAAGAGGAUGUCCUGCUCACUCGGUUUUACUAUAUUAUUACGCUUUUCAAAUCAAUGGGUGUCAGAUCUCUCUUCAAAAUAUUUUAGAGAAUCUCACAUAGUUAGAACUGAUAAAGAUGUUAGAAAUGAUUAAAUCUAAUUUUCACAUCUUAUAAACAAAUAACUGAAUACUGCGAUGAAUAAUGAUCUGUAAUUUGGAAAGUGUUUCUACAUCCAUAGGAAUCAGACUCAGCCUCAUGCCUGGAUGGUGAAAAGUCACAUGACCAGUAAGCCGCCAUCCACAGGGCUCCUGCAGAACAGGCACAAAACAGAAAAGGACCGUGAGAUGCUGAGACUUGGUACAGUCUAAAAGAGCUAAAAUUCCAAAAACAAAAAUGACACGAAGUAUAUACUCUGGAUCAGAGAAAAAUGAAAUAAAAAGAACGAGGUUUAUAAAAUAAGGAAGAGGAGUCUAAGCAUAGAGAAGAGAACAAUUGCUGUCAGAUUACAACACCUCAGAGUCCAAGGAGGGGGCUAAGAAGAAAAAAUACAGAGAAGAAGCCGCCACUGCUGUUUUUAUAUAGGGGUAGAAGGUAUAGAGGUUUUUCUAUUUUAUUUAUUUUUUUUUUUUUGAGACGGAGUCUCGCUGUGUCGCCCGGCUGGAGUGCAGCGGCGCGAUCGCGGCUCCCUGCAAGCUCCGCCUCCCAGGUUCAUACCAUUCUCCUGCCUCAGCCUCCUGAGUAGCUGCGACUACAGGCGCCCGCCACCACGCCCGGCCAAUUUUUUUCUAUUUUUUAGUAGAGACGGGGUUUCACCGUGUUAGCCAGGAUGGUCUCGAUCUCCUGACCUCGUGAUCCGCCCGCCUCGACCUCCCAAAGUGCUGGGAUUACAGGCGUGAGCCACCACGCCCGGCCAUAUGUUAUUAAAUGAAAAUGCCAGCUUAAAAACAAAAGUGAGGAAAGCCAAGCUGAGGUACAUCCUGCAAGUUCAACAAAAUUUAGAAACAUUUCAUCAUGUGCCUCACAUAAACCAACAGAACUUUUUUUUCUGUUACAUUGUAUAUAAAAUGAACUUUGUGUGUUUUCUUUUAAAUUCAGGCUGAAAAAAUGUCACUCAUGUUUUUAUUAGAAUGGUAACCUUUUGUAAUAAAAAUAAUGUUCUUCAUACUAAUUUAUUUAGUGAUCUAAAAGAUGAAUAAGUCUUUACAUAGUUUGAUUCUAGUGAAACAAGGACAUUUUUGGGGUAGGAUGAAUGUGAGGAGUCAAACAUUUCCUAAGACACAAUGAACUUAGUUUUAGACCAUGAUGAUGUCCUAUAUUUUUCAGAAAUAAAAUAUUUAUCUUAGAU